AUUGAACGCUGGCGGCGUGCCUACUACAUGCAAGUAGGACGCAGUUGCGAACGGGUGAGUAACGCGUAGGUAACUACCUAUUAGAGGGGGAUAACUAUUGGAAACGAUAGCUAAUACCGCAUACUAGUAGAUGGACCUGCGUUGUAUUAGCUAGUAGGUAGGGUAAUGGCCUACCUAGGCAACGAUACAUAGCCGACCUGAGAGGGUGAUCGGCCAAACUGGGACUGUGGAACGGCCCAGACUCCGAAGGGAGGCAGCAGUAGGGGAACUUCGGGAAUGGGGGGAAACCUUACCGAGCAAAGCCGCGUGAGGGAAGAAGGUUUUCGGAUCGUAAAGCUCUGUUGUUAAGGAAGCGGUACUUAACCAGAAAGGGACGGCUAACUACGUGCCAGCAGCCGCGGUAAUAC
rnacentral:rRNA from 1 species